UGGGGAAUAUUGCACAAUGGGCGAAAGCCUGAUGCAGCAACGCCGCGUGCGGGAUGACGGCCUUCGGGUUGUAAACCGCUUUCAGCAGGGACGAAGGUUUUCUGACGGUACCUGCAGAAGAAGCACCGGCUAACUACGUGCCAGCAGCCGCGGUGAUACGUAGGUGCGAGCGUUGUCCGGAAUUAUUGGGCGUAAAGAGCUUGUAGGCGGUCCGUUGCGUCGGAAGUGAAAACUCAGGGCUUAACCCUGAGCCUGCUUUCGAUACGGGCGGACUUGAGGGAUGUAGGGGAGAACGGAAUUCCUGGUGGAGCGGUGGAAUGCGCAGAUAUCAGGAGGAACACCAGUGGCGAAGGCGGUCCUCUGGACAUUUCCUGACGCUGAGAAGCGAAAGCGUGGGGAGCAAAACAGGCUUAGAUACCCUGGUAGUCCACGCCGUAAACGGUGGGCACUAGGUGUGGGACCCAUUCCACGGGUUCCGUGCCGUAGCUAACGCAUUAAGUGCCCGCCUGGGGAGUACGGCCGCAAGGCUAAAACUCAAAGGAAUUGACGGGGUCAU
rnacentral:rRNA from 1 species